UUGAACGCUGGCGGCAGGCCUAACACAUGCAAGUCGAGCGGAUGAAGGGAGCUUGCUCCUGGAUUCAGCGGCGGACGGGUGAGUAAUGCCUAGGAAUCUGCCUGGUAGUGGGGGAUAACGUCCGGAAACGGGCGCUAAUACCGCAUACGUCCUGAGGGAGAAAGUGGGGGAUCUUCGGACCUCACGCUAUCAGAUGAGCCUAGGUCGGAUUAGCUAGUUGGUGGGGUAAAGGCCUACCAAGGCGACGAUCCGUAACUGGUCUGAGAGGAUGAUCAGUCACACUGGAACUGAGACACGGUCCAGACUCCUACGGGAGGCAGCAGUGGGGAAUAUUGGACAAUGGGCGAAAGCCUGAUCCAGCCAUGCCGCGUGUGUGAAGAAGGUCUUCAGAUUGUAAAGCACUUUAAGUUGGGAGGAAGGGCAGUAAGUUAAUACCUUGCUGUUUUGACGUUACCAACAGAAUAAGCACCGGCUAACUUCGUG
rnacentral:rRNA from 1 species